UUUCCACGUAGCCUACUGACCUUGA
rnacentral:piRNA from 2 species